rnacentral:rRNA from 1 species
UGGGGAAUUUUCCGCAAUGGGCGAAAGCCUGACGGAGCAACGCCGCGUGAGGGAGGAAGGCUCUUGGGUUGUAAACCUCUUUUCUCAAGGAAGAAGAAAGUGACGGUACUUGAGGAAUCAGCCUCGGCUAACUCCGUGCCAGCAGCCGCGGUAAUACGGAGGAGGCAAGCGUUAUCCGGAAUUAUUGGGCGUAAAGAGUCCGUAGGUGGCCAUUCAAGUCUGCUGUCAAAGCGUGGAGCUUAACUCCAUUCCGGCAGUGGAAACUGAGUAGCUAGAGUUCGGUAGGGGUAGCGGGAAUUCCCAGUGUAGCGGUGAAAUGCGUAGAGAUUGGGAAGAACAUCGGUGGCGAAAGCGCGCUACUGGGCCGAAACUGACACUGAGGGACGAAAGCUAGGGGAGC